rnacentral:rRNA from 1 species
GGUUAAGUUAGAAAGGGCGCACGGUGGAUGCCUUGGCACUAGGAGCCGAUGAAGGACGGGACGAACACCGAUAUGCUUCGGGGAGCUGUAAGCAAGCUUUGAUCCGGAGAUUUCCGAAUGGGGAAACCCACCACUCGUAAUGGAGUGGUAUCCAUAUCUGAAUACAUAGGAUAUGAGAAGGCAGACCCGGGGAACUGAAACAUCUAAGUACCCGGAGGAAGAGAAAGCAAAUGCGAUUCCCUGAGUAGCGGCGAGCGAAACGGGACCAGCCCAAACCAAGAGGCUUGCCUCUUGGGGUUGUAGGACACUCUGUACGGAGUUACAAAGGAACGAGGUAGAUGAAGAGGUCUGGAAAGGCCCGCCAUAGGAGGUAACAGCCCUGUAGUCAAAACUUCGUUCUCUCCUGAGUGGAUCCUGAGUACGGCGGAACACGUGAAAUUCCGUCGGAAUCCGGGAGGACCAUCUCCCAAGGCUAAAUACUCCCUAGUGACCGAUAGUGAACCAGUACCGUGAGGGAAAGGUGAAAAGCACCCCGGAAGGGGAGUGAAAGAGAUCCUGAAACCGUGUGCCUACAAGUAGUCAGAGCCCGUUAACGGGUGAUGGCGUGCCUUUUGUAGAAUGAACCGGCGAGUUACGAUCCCGUGCAAGGUUAAGCAGAAGAUGCGGAGCCGCAGCGAAAGCGAGUCUGAAUAGGGCGAAUUGAGUACGUGGUCGUAGACCCGAAACCAGGUGAUCUACCCAUGUCCAGGGUGAAGUUCAGGUAACACUGAAUGGAGGCCCGAACCCACGCACGUUGAAAAGUGCGGGGAUGAGGUGUGGGUAGGGGUGAAAUGCCAAUCGAACCUGGAGAUAGCUGGUUCUCUCCGAAAUAGCUUUAGGGCUAGCCUCAAGGUAAGAGUCUCGGAGGUAGAGCACUGAUUGGACUAGGGGCCCCUACCGGGUUACCGAAUUCAGUCAAACUCCGAAUGCCGAUGACUUAUCCUUGGGAGUCAGACUGCGAGUGAUAAGAUCCGUAGUCGAAAGGGAAACAGCCCAGACCGCCAGCUAAGGUCCCAAAGUAUACGUUAAGUGGAAAAGGAUGUGGAGUUGCUUAGACAACCAGGAUGUUGGCUUAGAAGCAGCCACCAUUUAAAGAGUGCGUAAUAGCUCACUGGUCGAGUGACUCUGCGCCGAAAAUGUACCGGGGCUAAACGUAUCACCGAAGCUGCGGACUGUUCUUCGAACAGUGGUAGGAGAGCGUUCUAAGGGCUGUGAAGCAAGACCGGAAGGACUUGUGGAGCGCUUAGAAGUGAGAAUGCCGGUAUGAGUAGCGAAAGAGGGGUGAGAAUCCCCUCCACCGAAUGCCUAAGGUUUCCUGAGGAAGGCUCGUCCGCUCAGGGUUAGUCGGGACCUAAGCCGAGGCCGAAAGGCGUAGGCGAUGGAUAACAGGUUGAUAUUCCUGUACCACCUCCUCACCAUUUGAGCAAUGGGGGGACGCAGGAGGAUAGGGUAAGCGCGGUAUUGGAUAUCCGCGUCCAAGCAGUUAGGCUGGGAAAUAGGCAAAUCCGUUUCCCGUGAAGGCUGAGCUGUGAUGGCGAGCGAAUUAUAGUAGCGAAGUUCCUGAUUCCACACUGCCAAGAAAAGCCUCUAGCGAGGUGAGAGGUGCCCGUACCGCAAACCGACACAGGUAGGCGAGGAGAGAAUCCUAAGGUGAUCGAGAGAACUCUCGUUAAGGAACUCGGCAAAAUGACCCCGUAACUUCGGGAGAAGGGGUGCUCUGUUAGGGUGCAAGCCCGAGAGAGCCGCAGUGAAUAGGCCCAGGCGACUGUUUAGCAAAAACACAGGUCUCUGCGAAGCCGUAAGGCGAAGUAUAGGGGCUGACGCCUGCCCGGUGCUGGAAGGUAAGAGGAGCGCUUAGCGUAAGCGAAGGUGCGAAUUGAAGCCCCAGUAAACGGCGGCCGUAACUAUAACGGUCCUAAGGUAGCGAAAUUCCUUGUCGGGUAAGUUCCGACCCGCACGAAAGGCGCAACGAUCUGGGCACUGUCUCAACGAGAGACUCGGUGAAAUUAUAGUACCUGUGAAGAUGCAGGUUACCCGCGACAGGACGGAAAGACCCCGUGGAGCUUUACUGCAGCCUGAUAUUGAAUGUUGGUACAGCUUGUACAGGAUAGGUAGGAGCCUUGGAAACCGGAGCGCCAGCUUCGGUGGAGGCAUCGGUGGGAUACUACCCUGGCUGUAUUGACCUUCUAACCCGCCGCCCUUAUCGGGCGGGGAGACAGUGUCAGGUGGGCAGUUUGACUGGGGCGGUCGCCUCCUAAAAGGUAACGGAGGCGCCCAAAGGUUCCCUCAGAAUGGUUGGAAAUCAUUCGCAGAGUGUAAAGGCACAAGGGAGCUUGACUGCGAGACCUACAAGUCGAGCAGGGACGAAAGUCGGGCUUAGUGAUCCGGUGGUUCCGCAUGGAAGGGCCAUCGCUCAACGGAUAAAAGCUACCCCGGGGAUAACAGGCUUAUCUCCCCCAAGAGUCCACAUCGACGGGGAGGUUUGGCACCUCGAUGUCGGCUCAUCGCAUCCUGGGGCUGUAGUCGGUCCCAAGGGUUGGGCUGUUCGCCCAUUAAAGCGGUACGCGAGCUGGGUUCAGAACGUCGUGAGACAGUUCGGUCCCUAUCCGUCGCGGGCGCAGGAAAUUUGAGAGGAGCUGUCCUUAGUACGAGAGGACCGGGAUGGACGCACCGCUGGUGUACCAGUUGUUCUGCCAAGGGCAUCGCUGGGUAGCUAUGUGCGGACGGGAUAAGUGCUGAAAGCAUCUAAGCAUGAAGCCCCCCUCAAGAUGAGAUUUCCCAUUCCGCAAGGAAGUAAGAUCCCUGAAAGAUGAUCAGGUUGAUAGGUCUGAGGUGGAAGUGUGGCGACACAUGGAGCUGACAGAUACUAAUCGAUCGAGGACUUAACCAA